UCCGGUGCAUUUCAAUCUGAUGAGCGGACUGACCAUGUGCGUGUUGUGCGAGUGUGUCUGUAGUUGUGCGUAGUAAGCACGGCUGAUAGCGUCUUUUCUAUUUUUUUCGCGUGUUGUAGUCUCAGUGCUGCACUGUUUUCCUUGUGCGAGUGGCAUACGUGCGGACGUGUCUGUACCUGCCUGUACUGUUCGGCGGCGAUCUCCUGUGACGCUCACGAGCUCUGCACCAGAACAGAAUGCUUUAGCGACUUGAGGGGAACCCUGGAGACACCCGUUGGCAUGGACCUCGUGUGCACGCUGUGGGGAUCUACGUGAAUGUUAGUGAUGGUAGUGACUGUAGAACCACAUGCCACCUUGCUGUAGAGGAGUUUGACUAUGCCACUUCAGAGGAUGCACAUGCAAGGAGGAGCAUCUAUUGUCCAGUUUCCCCUUGAGCUUGUGAACCUGUGUUUUAGCCCCAAGGUGAGUUUUCCCACGUUCAAGCAACCCUCGUGGCCUCGUCUAAGAGGUAAGGUUUCUCAUUCUCUAGUACCAUAUUCUGCCAUGUUAUAACAUAAAGUCCCAACUUGAAGUCCCAGAAAGUGAAAUAUUUGCAAGUGUAACCCGUGAAAAUGCAUACAAGACCAAAAUCCUUGUAGAUAGUUUGGAACAUUCAUUGACAUGAAGGGAUGCUUGAGAAACAUUCUUGUUGCCAGCUUUCGUGCCGUUGCUCUUGCUUCAGGUGGCGUCACAAGUAUUGUGGACACUGGAGAGCAAGAGUCAUACGCCCUGUCAAAGGAGCAGUCAGCAGAGCACUUUGACAUUAAUUUUGCAACUGCCCUUCAUGCCCUUAAAAGCUACUGAGUCAGUCCACUCAAAAUGCCCUGGACAUUCAGUUUGAUCACCUCCGAUUUCAUUCUUCAAAAAUUGUGAUUGAUCUCACUAAAGUGACAGUGCUUCCACAGCACAACUUCAGCCAAAAAA
rnacentral:misc_RNA from 1 species